rnacentral:rRNA from 1 species
CCUACGGGUGGCAGCAGUGAGGAAUAUUGGUCAAUGGGCGAGAGCCUGAACCAGCCAAGUAGCGUGAAGGAUGACUGCCCUACGGGUUGUAAACUUCUUUUAUCUUGGAAUAAAGUGUUCCACGUGUGGGCUUUUGUAUGUACCCUAUGAAUAAGGAUCGGCUAACUCCGUGCCAGCAGCCGCGGUAAUACGGAGGAUCCGAGCGGUAUCCGGAUUUAUUGGGUUUAAAGGGAGCGUAGGUGGGUUGGUAAGUCAGUUGUGAAAGUUUGCGGCUCAACCGUAAAAUUGCAGUUGAAACUGGCAGUCUUGAGUACAGGAGAGGUAGGCGGAAUUCGUGGUGUAGCGGUGAAAUGCUUAGAUAUCACGAAGAACUCCGAUUGCGAAGGCAGCCUACUGGACUGCCACUGACACUGAGGCUCGAAAGUGUGGGUAUCAAACAGGAUUAGAUACCCGUGUAGUC